ACCGCAUCGCUCACCGUCCUUGACUGGAUCCAUCACCAAAUCCAUCCCGUCCCCGACCCUCCAUCUCUUCCACAAAAACCACGCGGAUGCACGGUCCUCUCGGCUUGGCCAUCUCCCUCCUCCGCUCGAUUCCUCGCCGCCAGCGCUGAGUAGGGUUCUUCCCCAAAUCCCCGAGUCCCUUGUGAUGUGGCUCCAGUGGUGGCGCCGCCGGGCCUUCCCGUCGUAUUUCGGCAAAGCAUCCGGCCGAUUUCCGAUGUGGCUCCAUCCGGCCCACGAGUGCCGACCCGCCUCAGAGCCAUAGCGCUGCUGUCCUGACCUGCUCCACGACCGGUGCCACGCUGCCGGGGAGACAGGGAGACCUGGUCGAGUUGUCCUCCUUGACGGCGGCCCCUGCCCCUCGACCUGCUCCUCGCCUGGGGAAACUAGGAGGCUGCACUCAAGGCUAUCCUUAUGCGCGCGGGGUCUGUUGCGUCCUGAUGCAGUAGCGGCUUUGCAUUGCUGGGCUCCACGCCGCGAAUCACUUCAGUUCAAGGGAAGGCUAUCUGAGCAAUCAGUACGAUACUGGUGAUUGCUACUAGGAGUACACCCGAUCGAUCCAAAGGCUGGCUUUUUGGAGGAAUUCGCUAGCAGCCCCAAAAUUUGAGGGGAAUUCAUUCGCGAAGACCUCGGCAUCACCGGUGUUGGAGAGUAUGUAUGAUCGAGCGGCCAACACAUAUCUGCAUAACUACUCCCCAACAAUUUAUGGUCUUUGUUUGCUUCCUCUACUCUGCGACCGUGAGCAUGGUGAAGGCAUUUGCGGAGUGGCGUGAUGUGGCGGCGCGUUGAUCGAGUUACGGAUGAUAUAACUGUGAUACAUCCUCGCACGUCUCUGGCGGACAAUGGUGGUCCUGGGGCUCUGCCCCCCUUCCCUGCAAGCGCCUGAAGGAAUCCUGUGAUUCACUAAGCAGCAGCACAGGCGUAUCCAAUCCAAUUAAACGAAGAACAAGCAAAGAAAAAUACAACAGUACAGAGUAAAUCCAUAAGUCCUUCUCGCUGGUCUGUAGCAGAAAAAGCUGGAACGGGGAAGGAUUGUUUGUGUACAUCACUAUGGAGCACAUACUAUGCGUAUAUGUGUUCACGUAUCCAAGUUUCGCGUGGAUAUUUUUGUCAAGGAAUUCAGAGUAAAACUUACAAAUUGAUCUC